UACAGAGGUCCCAAGCGUUGUUCGGAUUCACUGGGCGUAAAGGGUGCGUAGGCGGUCGGGUAAGUCUGAUGUGAAAUCUCACAAGCUUAACUGUGAAACUGCAUUGGAUACUAUCCGGCUCGAGGAAUGGAGGGGAGACUGGAAUACUUGGUGUAGCAGUGAAAUGCGUAGAUAUCAAGUGGAACACCAGUGGCGAAGGCGAGUCUCGUGGACAUUUCCUGACGCUGAGGCACGAAAGCCAGGGAGCAAACGG
rnacentral:rRNA from 1 species